rnacentral:rRNA from 1 species
UAUAAUGCAGUCGAACGCUUCUUUCCUCCCGAGUGCUUGCCUCUUUGGAAAGAGGAGUGGCGGACGGGUGAGUAACGCGUGGGUAACCUACCCAUCAGAGGGGGAUAACACUUGGAAACAGGUGCUAAUACCGCAUAACAGUUUAUGCCGCAUGGCAUAUGAGUGAAAGGCGCUUUCGGGUGUCGCUGAUGGAUGGACCCGCGGUGCAUUAGCUAGUUGGUGAGGUAACGGCUCACCAAGGCCACGAUGCAUAGCCGACCUGAAAGGGUGAUCGACCACACUGGGACUGAGACACCGCCCAGACUCCUACGGGAGGCAGCAUUAGGGAAUCUUCGGCAAUGGACAAAAGUCUGACCGAGCAACGCCGCGUGAGUGAAGAAGGUUUUCGGAUCGUAAAACUCUGUUGUUAGAGAAGAACAAGGACGUUAGUAACUGAACGUCCCCUGACGGUAUCUAACCAGAAAGCCACGGCUAACUACGUGCCACCAGCCGCGG